AGCAGCCGCGGUAAUUCCAGCUCCAAUAGCGUAUAUUAAAGUUGUUGCAGUUAAAAAGCUCGUAGUUGAAUUUCGGGGUCAGUAGAUUGGUCGUGCCACUGGUAUGUACUGGUCUUACUGGCUCCUCCUUCCUGAUGAACCGUAAUGCCAUUAAUUUGGUGUUGCGGGGAGACUGGACUGUUACUUUGAAAAAUUAGAGUGUUUAAAGCAGGCUAACGCUUGAAUACAUUAGCAUGGAAUAAUGAAAUAGGACGUUCGAUCUUAUUUUGUUGGUUUCUAAGAUUGACGUAAUGAUUAAUAGGGAUAGUUGGGGGCAUUAGUAUUCAAUUGUCAGAGGUGAAAUUCUUGGAUUUAUUGAAGACUAACUACUGCGAAAGCAUUUGCCAAGGAUGUUUUCAUUAAUC
rnacentral:sRNA from 1 species